rnacentral:rRNA from 1 species
UGCAUAUCAAAAGCGGAGGAAAAGAAACCAACAGGGAUUGCCUCAGUAGCGGCGAGUGAAGCGGCAAGAGCUCAGAUUUGAAAUCGUGCUUUGCGGCACGAGUUGUAGAUUGCAGGUUGGAGUCUGUGUGGAAGGCGGUGUCCAAGUCCCUUGGAACAGGGCGCCCAGGAGGGUGAGAGCCCCGUGGGAUGCCGGCGGAAGCAGUGAGGCCCUUCUGACGAGUCGAGUUGUUUGGGAAUGCAGCUCCAAGCGGGUGGUAAAUUCCAUCUAAGGCUAAAUACUGGCGAGAGACCGAUAGCGAACAAGUACUGUGAAGGAAAGAUGAAAAGCACUUUGAAAAGAGAGUGAAACAGCACGUGAAAUUGUUGAAAGGGAAGGGUAUUGCGCCCGACAUGGGGAUUGCGCACCGCUGCCUCUCGUGGGCGGCGCUCUGGGCUUUCCCUGGGCCAGCAUCGGUUCUUGCUGCAGGAGAAGGGGUUCUGGAACGUGGCUCUUCGGAGUGUUAUAGCCAGGGCCAGAUGCUGCGUGCGGGGACCGAGGACUGCGGCCGUGUAGGUCACGGAUGCUGGCAGAACGGCGCAACACCGCCCGUCUUGAAACA